rnacentral:rRNA from 1 species
CCUACGGGAGGCUGCAGUGGGGAAUAUUGCACAAUGGGCGCAAGCCUGAUGCAGCCAUGCCGCGUGUGUGAAGAAGGCCUUCGGGUUGUAAAGCACUUUCAGCGGGGAGGAAGGCGUUAAGGUUAAUAACCUUGGCGAUUGACGUUACCCGCAGAAGAAGCACCGGCUAACUCCGUGCCAGCAGCCGCGGUAAUACGGAGGGUGCAAGCGUUAAUCGGAAUUACUGGGCGUAAAGCGCACGCAGGCGGUCUGUCAAGUCGGAUGUGAAAUCCCCGGGCUCAACCUGGGAACUGCAUUCGAAACUGGCAGGCUAGAGUCUUGUAGAGGGGGGUAGAAUUCCAGGUGUAGCGGUGAAAUGCGUAGAGAUCUGGAGGAAUACCGGUGGCGAAGGCGGCCCCCUGGACAAAGACUGACGCGCAGGUGCGAAAGCGUGGGGAGCAAACAGGAUUAGAUACCCCUGUAGUC